rnacentral:lncRNA from 1 species
GAUGCUGAAGGAAAGCUGUGGGUUGGAGAAUCUGGAAACGAGAAUGAUAAGGUACUUUUAAACAGUUUUUUUUUCUUUUUUUUUUUCCGCUUUCACAUGGUGGUACUUUUUUGAUUGGGAGCAAAGACUGAUUUUAGAAUAAUCUGGUUCCUGGGCUUUUAUGUUACAUGCACCUUCUUUUUUUUUCCACUUUCACAUGAUGGUACUUUUUUCAUUGGGAGCAAAGACUGAUUUUAGAAUAAUCUGGUUCCUGGGCUUUUUUGUUACAUGUACCAAAAACCACUUCAACAACAAAGGUAUUGGUCGGAUACUGGAAAAAGACGAAAGUAGCCGUUUUUAUAUAUUUCUAAAAUAAAUCUACUUAUGUCUAUCUGAUUGUUGUCAGCAUGUGGGGUUGUUUAUGGUUUAUCAUGGCAGCUCUGAGAGAAGGUACAGUCUCUUGUUUAAGAUAAUAUCUGACUUUUCUAUACGCCGCAAUAAGGUGAAUGAUUAUGCCUUCCUUUUACAGAAGCACAUAAUUGCAUCUUUAAUUUCAUACGUUAACUGUGCCAUGUAAGACAAGAGGGGUUGCUCUGAUGGUAAGCAACCCCCACUUCCAACCGAGAGGUUCUGAGUUUGAGUCUCCCCA